UCCACUCCCUCUGAUCGACCUUUGUGCAUUGGUGGUCUCAGGAUGUGGAGAAGCUGGGAUCAUGGUCUUGGGUAGAGUUCCACGAAGGUCACUCGUUGAGGAAGCUUUGGGAUAGACGUCUGUGGUGUGGUCAGGAGUAUGGUUCAGAAGGAGAGCGCUUGCCUGGCACGCAUGCCGUCACACCUGCUCUGAGGAUUCGGAUGGUAGUUCUGCUCAGAGGACUGUGUUUUACACGUAACAUAGGAAUCCUCUUCUCACUAUGGUGUUUAGGAAGUGCUUCAGGGAUACUAUAUGUGAAGGACCAGAUGAAUGGAUGGAGCUCUAUGAACACAGAGAUCCCUGCAGGCAGCCUAUCAGAUGUAUCUACUGGUCUUCUAAGGUCUGCACAUAGGACUC